GGGCCCGUAAUUCAAAGGUUAGAAUGCGCGACUCAUAAUCCCGUCAUCCUGGUUCGAGUCCAGGCGGGCCCACCA
rnacentral:tRNA from 1 species